AGCGUAGACGGCGAUGCAAGCCAGAUGUGAAAGCCCGGGGCUCAACCCCGGGACUGCAUUUGGAACUGUGUUGCUAGAGUGUCGGAGAGGCAAGUGGAAUUCCUAGUGUAGCGGUGAAAUGCGUAGAUAUUAGGAGGAACACCAGCGGCGAAGGCGGCUUGCUGGACGAUGACUGACGUUGAGACUGAAAGCGUGGGGAGCAAACA
rnacentral:rRNA from 1 species